rnacentral:rRNA from 1 species
GCACAAGCAGUGGAGUAUGUGGUUUAAUUCGACGCAACGCGAAGAACCUUACCAAGUCUUGACAUCCCUUGACAGGCAUAGAAAUGUGUUUUCUCUUCGGAGCAAGGAGACAGGUGGUGCAUGGUUGUCGUCAGCUCGUGUCGUGAGAUGUUGGGUUAAGUCCCGCAACGAGCGCAACCCUUAUGGUCAGUUACUACGCAAGAGGACUCUGGCCAGACUGCCGUUGACAAAA